CAAAUAACACUAAAUGAGACUCCGAAUAAAUUCGCAUUUAGUGACACGACAUGAUGUAACUUUCUAUUUAUGUAGAACAUCUUGGGUCUCACUGAAGGCGUGAAGACUGCUCCUAUAACAUAUCCAGAAUUAGUCGACUUGCCUGUCGAACAUUUAGUCUCAAAGAAUGAUCAGAAGAUUUUAAUCAACUGUGGUGCUGCAGAAUAUCAAAAGGCAUCAGAUAACGUGUAUGUUCUGGACUUGUCUUUGCUCAAAGGAGGGGCCCCAGGACGGACACGAGGACUAAACCUAUAUGUCACCAAUCCUUCAACUGAUCGCGUAAAUGGUGACAAUCAGCUGAGCUAACCUACCACCUUUGGUUUCAAUAAUUGUUUUUCACUUCUUACAUCUUUAAAGGGAUCGAGCCCUUCAAGAGAGCCACGCUUCGACUACGUGAUAUCUUUCUUGGAUAGUUUGAACUAUUUAGUUCCUAAUCCACGAUUAAAUGAGAAAUGGUUUCUAAUUGAUGCGGAAAUUGUAGGUUAGCAGCCUUAAACUAUUGAGAGCCUAAGAUAUGGAACUGUUCUACCCAAGGACUACGUAGAGUAAGAAUGAGUAUGUUGGAUGGAAUUCUUUCAUCUUUUUCUCUAGU